rnacentral:rRNA from 1 species
UACGAGUGGCCCGAGCGUUAUCCGGAAUUAUUGGGCGUAAAGGGUGUGUAGGUGGUCUUAUUAGUCUCGCGUGAAAGCUUCGGGCUUAACCUGAAAACUGCGCGGGAAACGGUAAGACUAGAGGGUGCGAGGGGUACGUAGAACUCAUGGUGUAGGGGUGAAAUCCGUUGAUAUCAUGGGGAAUACCAAAAGCGAAGGCAGCGUACUGGCGCAUUUCCUGACACUGAAACACGAAAGCAUGGGUAGCGAAUGGG